rnacentral:rRNA from 1 species
GCAACAGCCCGAAAACUUUACAAUGCGGGAAACCGUGAUAAGGGGACUCCGAGUGCUAGCAUCAUAUGCUGGCUGUCCAGGUGUGUAAACAUACACCUGUUAGCAAGGGCCGGGCAAGACCGGUGCCAGCCGCCGCGGUAACACCGGCGGCUCGAGUGGURAUCGUGAUUAUUGGGUCUAAAGGGUCCGUACACGGCUUUAACAGUCCGUCGGGAAAUCAGAUASCUCAASUAUUAGGCUYUCGGGAGAUUCUGCCAGACUUGARGCCGGGAGAGGUAAKAGGUCAUACUAGGGUAGGAGUGACAUCYUUGUAGCCUCUUAGUACCGUCAUUGGCGUAGGCGUCUCACCAGAUCGGGUCUCACGGUAAGGGACGAAAGCUGGGGGCUCGAACCGGAUUAGAUACCCGGGUAGUCCUAGCCGUAAGCGAUGCUCGCUAGGUGUACAGCAURGCGCGCCGUGUCYGGUGCCGCAGGGAAAUCGUGAACUGAGCCGCC